rnacentral:rRNA from 1 species
CUUAAAUGAAUUGACGGGGCCCGCACAAGCAGCGGAGCAUGUGGUUUAAUUCGAAGCAACGCGAAGAACCUUACCUAGACUUGACAUCUCCUGCAUUACCCUUAAUCGGGGAAGCCCGUUCGGGGCAGGAAGACAGGUGGUGCAUGGUUGUCGUCAGCUCGUGUCGUGAGAUGUUGGGUUAAGUCCCGCAACGAGCGCAACCCUUAUUUUAGUUGCUACCAUUCAGUUUGGGCACUCUAGCGAGACUGCCGGUAAUAAACCGGAGGAAGGUGGGAUGACGUCAAAUCAUCAUGCCCCUUAUGACCUGGGCUACACACGUGCUACAAUGGUUGGUACAACGAGUUGCGAGUCGGUGACGGCGAGCUAAUCUCUUAAAGCCAAUCUCAGUUCGGAUUGUAGGCUGCAACUCGCCUACAUGAAGUCGGAAUCGCUAGUAAUCGCGGAUCAGCACGCCGCGGUGAAUACGUUCCCGGGCCUU